GAGUAGCACCGGGCCCGUGAAAUCCGGUGUGAAUCUGUCGGGACCACCCGAUAAGCCUAAAUACUUCUUGAUGACCGAUAGCGGACCAGUACCGUGAGGGAAAGGUGAAAAGUACCCCGGGAGGGGAGUGAAAUAGUACCUGAAACCGUGUGCUUACAAUCCGUCAGAGGCUUUCGGGCUGAUGGCGUGCCUUUUGAAGAAUGAGCCUGCGAGUUAGUGGUAUGUCGCGAGGUUAACCCGUGUGGGGAAGCCGGAGCGAAAGCGAGUCCGAAUAGGGCGUUUAGUGGCAUGCUCUAGACCCGAAGCGGGGUGAUCUACCCAUGGCCAGUGUGAAGCGACGGUAAGACGUCGUGGAGGCGCGAACCCACUUAGGUUGAAAACUGAGGGGAUGAGCUGUGGGUAGGGGUGAAAGGCCAAUCAAACUCCGUGAUAGCUGGUUC
rnacentral:rRNA from 1 species